rnacentral:rRNA from 1 species
GAUGAACGCUGGCGGCGUGCCUAAUACAUGCAAGUCGAGCGAACAGACGAGGAGCUUGCUCCUCUGACGUUAGCGGCGGACGGGUGAGUAACACGUGGAUAACCUACCUAUAAGACUGGGAUAACUUCGGGAAACCGGAGCUAAUACCGGAUAAUAUAUUGAACCGCAUGGUUCAAUAGUGUAAGACGGUUUUGCUGUUACUUAUAUAUGGAUCCGCGCCGCAUUAGCUAGUUGGUAAGGUAACGGCUUACCAAGGCAACGAUGCGUAGCCGACCUGAGAGGGUGAUCGGCCACACUGGAACUGAGACACGGUCCAGACUCCUACGGGAGGCAGCAGUAGGGAAUCUUCCGCAAUGGGCGAAAGCCUGACGGAGCAACGCCGCGUGAGUGAUGAAGGUCUUCGGAUCGUAAAACUCUGUUAUUAGGGAAGAACAAAUGUGUAAGUAACUAUGCACGUCUUGACGGUACCUAAUCAGAAAGCCACGGCUAACUACGUG